AUGGUUAUGGACCGCACGGGUUGGCUCUGGAGGCGCAAGCCUUCGGAUAAUAGUCCUGGGGCAAGCGAUAGCUCUGUGCCCGUGUCAUCGCAUCCUCAGUGCUGCUCUGGCGAUCAGGAGGUUCUGAGGCCUGUCUCAAACAAUGCUUCAGCACAUCAUGGUCAAUCACCCAAAGUCUCUUCGAGGGUUAGGCAUGAUGAGACCCAAGAAACUGGAGUACCAAAAUUGUCGAAUGAGAAGCUAGCAUCAAGAGUUAAUUUAAAUGAUUUUUCUCCACAGCAUGGUCAGUCACUAGAAUCAUACCUAUCAUCAAAUGGAGAUGAAGAGACCAAGGAGACCAUGAAGAGUCUAAAUGAAAAACUUGCUGCUGCCCUUUUGGCUAUUAGUGAGAAAGAGGAUCUUGUUAAGCAGCAUGCUAAAGUCACAGAAGAGGCUGUUGCAGGUUGGGAACAAGCUGAAGUCGAAGCUACUGCCAUCAAGAAGCUGCUUGAAGCUGCUUCCCAUAGAAAUGAUUAUCUCGAGGGUCAGGUCAGCCACCUAGACAAGGCCCUCAAGGAAUGUGUGAGGCAGCUGCGCCUGGUACGGGAAGAACAAGAGGAGAUAAUACGUGAUGCACUUACCAAGAAGUCCCAGGAGUUGGAGUCUGAGAACUCCAAGCUGCAAAACCAUAUUGCUGAGCUGAAGAAGCAGCUGGCAGCAACCAAAUCAGAAGCCUCCACCGUGUCUGCACAGCCUGAUCUACAAGAGAAGCUUCAGACAAUCGAGAAAGAUAACUUGGAUCUCAAGGCCAAGCUCCUUGUACAGUCCAAAGAUCUGAAGAUACUCUCACUGGAAAAAGACUUGAGCAAUCAAGCAGCAGAGACAGCCAGCAAGCAGCACCUGGAAAGUAUAAAAAAGAUUGCUAGGGUUGAGGCAGAAUGCCGCAGGUUACAUCAUCUAGCUCAGAAAACAGCAUUGGUCAAUGAUUCUAGACCUCCGCCAAGCGCAGAAUCACUAACUGACAGCCACUCUGACAGUGCAGAAUGUAUGGUUGGUGUUGAUAGUGAAUUGAGAAAUUCUGACUCGUGGGCAUCUGCUCUGAUUACGGAGCUUGACCAGUUCAGGAAUGCGAAGGCUAGUGCAACAAAUAUUAUGAAUAAUCCUGUUGAGAUCGACCUAAUGGAUGAUUUCCUUGAGAUGGAAAGGUUGGCUGCAUUGCCUGAAUCAGACCAGACAAGCUCUACCUUUGAUAUGGAGACUGAUUCCGACAAGGCUGUGACGAGAAACAACUCUUCUAAAAUUGAAAAUGAAGAAUUGCGGCGUCAUGUUGCAGAUUUGCAUUCGAGGGUUGAAAUAGUUGAAAGCGAUAAGAAGGAGCUUGAGAUAGCUCUUAUAGAGGCUAGAAAUCAGCUUGACAUCUCCUGUGACGCACUAGUGGCGGCAAGGAACAGGCUGGUUGAAAUGCAAAUGCAAUUGGAUUUGGCAAAUGACUCCAAAUAUGCUGCUCUGGGAGAUGUGGACCGAUUGGACUCGGAGAAAAAGGCUUUGGAGUUUCAACUGGAGUCCAAAUCUGUAGAAGCUGAGGAGCUACAUGCGAUUGUUGCUUCAUUGGGAGAAAAUGCAGAAAAGAAGGAAUUUGAGUCGCAGUUAGAACUGGUCUCAGCCGAAGCCGCAGAGCUUCGGGUGACUAUGGCAUCAUUGGAAGAGAGGAUUGAAACCGAGACUGCUCUUUCUGUGCAGCACAAAGAAAAAUCAGAUGCUGCAUGCAAUGCUAAAGAAUUGUUGGAGACACAGCUGUAUUCUGCAAAUGCUGAAGUGCAAAAACUGCAUGGCAUCAUCAAAUCACUAGAGAAUCAGGUAGAAGAAGAGAAGGCACUGCGCGACGAACUCAUGAUACAAUCAUUGCUGAAGAUUGAAGCAGCUGUUGAGGCUGUUAAAGAACCAUUGGAGGCACAGCUGUGUUCCGCAAACACCGAAGUAGAGAAACUGCGUGGCAUUAUCGAAGCAUUAGAGAGUGAGAUAGAAAAGGAGAGGACAGUGCAUGAAGAACUGACAUCACAGCUAGACAUGAAGAUUGAAGCAGAGAGAACUCAUUCUGAGGCUGUUAAGGAAUCAUUGGAGGGACAGCUAUGUUCAGCAAAUAGCGAGGUAGCGAAACUGCGUGAUAUCAUUAAAGCGCUAGAAAAUGAGGUAGUUGAAAAAGAGAAGGCGUUGCAUGAAAAAUUGGCAGAAAAAGCAGAGAAAUCUAUUUCUGCGGAGUCUGUUAAAGAAUCAUUGGAGGCAGAACUCCAGUUAGUCAACUCUGAAGUUGUGAAACUGCGUGAUAUGGUGACGGCGCUUGAGCAUGAAGUGGUAAAGGAAAAGGAGUUCUCUGACGAGCUGCAGCUGCAGCUAGAAGCUCUAGAGGCCAUAAAAAGGGUGUUGGAGUCAGAGGUCGAGUCUGCACAUCAGGAUGCCCGGAAGCUUAAGGAGAAGGUUGAGUUGUUUGAAGCAAAACUGGACGAACAGAUGUCGUCAGCAGCGGAGUUCACUGCCAAGGAAGAGGCUGUGCAGUCACAAAGAACGGCAAUGGAGCAUCAACUUGAAGCAUCAAAGGCCGAUGUUGUGAAACUGACGAACAUGGUGAGCUUCCUCCAAGGGGAGGUUGUGCAGGAGAGGUUGCUGUCAGAAGAUUAUGAACAGAAAUGCCGAAAGCUGGAGGCUCAGUUGUCAAGGGAUAUUCGGGACGCGAAACUCUGGAGGCUUGCAAACUCAAAUGGAGACCUAAAGACCAAGCAGGAGAAGGAGCUUGCUAGUGCAGCCGGGAAGCUUGCAGAGUGCCAGAAGACCAUUGCUUCACUGGGACGCCAAUUGAAAUCACUGACAGAGAUUGACAACGUGGUGCUGGAGCCUGGACUAGGACUGCUGCUGGAACCCAGGGACAUAGCACUAAACUUGAGAGCCAGUGAUCCUGGCCUCCUUCAAAAAAGAAGCACUGGUUCCAACUUUGCAGUCUUCGCUGACGAGUUAUAUGAUCUUGACCUUCCGGAUGGCGACGUGGGCUGCUUUUCGCCACUCCCGUCGAUGAUUCGACCUUCAUCACCCCCUCCCUCGGAAAUGUCGGUGUUUGCAGGGGGGCUGUCGUCGCUUAGUAGCUACAGGGGAAAGAGACGAAAGUAA
rnacentral:rRNA from 1 species